GGGGAAUAUUGCACAAUGGGCGAAAGCCUGAUGCAGCGACGCCGCGUGCGGGAUGAAGGCCUUCGGGUUGUAAACCGCUUUUAAUUGGGAGCAAGCGAGAGUGAGUGUACCUUUUGAAUAAGCACCGGCUAACUACGUGCCAGCAGCCGCGGUAAUACGUAGGGUGCAAGCGUUAUCCGGAAUUAUUGGGCGUAAAGAGCUCGUAGGCGGUUUGUCACGCCUGGUGUGAAAGUCCAUCGCUUAACGGUGGAUCUGCGCCGGGUACGGGCAGGCUAGAGUGCAGUAGGGGAGAUUGGAAUUCCCGGUGUAACGGUGGAAUGUGUAGAUAUCGGGAAGAACACCAAUGGCGAAGGCAGAUCUCUGGGCUGUUACUGACGCUGAGGAGCGAAAGCAUGGGGAGCGAACAGGAUUAGAUACCCUGGUAGUCCAUGCCGUAAAACGGUGGAUGCUGGAUGUGGGACCCUUCCACGGGUUCCGUGUCGGAGCUAACGCGUUAAGCAUCCCGCCUGGGGAGUACGG
rnacentral:rRNA from 1 species